AUAUAAACUGCCAUACACUAUGCAGAUCAGAAUCCUGUGAUGAAGUAGGGCUGUACCCUACGAAAUGCAUAAGGCAAAUCACACAAUCUAACUAAGAGGAAACAUUUGCCGAAAAGAGUUUGAACAGUAAUUAUCCCUGACACGCUAGGAUUCCAGACCCAACUUCAACAUCCUUCAGCGAGAUUGGAGUUCACCUCUCGAUGUGAGGUCGGAGGUGAAACGCAAGCUGACACGCAC